rnacentral:rRNA from 2 species
GGCUUUUGGGCUGUCGCAGAUGGAUGAGCCUGCGUUGGAUUAGCUAGUUGGUGGGGUAAGGGCCUACCAAGGCUACGAUCCAUAGCUGAUUUGAGAGGAUGAUCAGCCACAUUGGGACUGAGACACGGCCCAAACUCCUACGGGAGGCAGCAGUGGGGAAUAUUGGACAAUGGGGGUAACCCUGAUCCAGCAAUGUCAUGUGUGUGAAGAAGGCCUUAGGGUUGUAAAGCACUUUAGUUGGGGAGGAAAGCUUUGAGGUUAAUAGCCUUGAGGAAGGACGUUACCCAAAGAAUAAGCACCGGCUAACUCCGUGCCAGCAGCCGCGGUAAUACGGGGGGUGCAAGCGUUAAUCGGAAUUACUGGGCGUAAAGGGUCUGUAGGUGGUUUGUUAAGUCAGAUGUGAAAGCCCAGGGCUCAACCUUGGAACUGCAUUUGAUACUGGCAAACUAGAGUACGGUAGAGGAAUGGGGAAUUUCUGGUGUAGCGGUGAAAUGCGUAGAGAUCAGAAGGAACACCAAUGGCGAAGGCAACAUUUUGGACCGGUACUGACACUGAGGGACGAAAGCGUGGGGAUCAAACAGGAUUAGAUACCCUGGUAGUCCAUGCUGUAAACGAUGAAUACUAGCUGUUGGAGUCGGUGUAAAGGCUCUAGUGGCGCAGCUAACGCGAUAAGUAUUCCGCCUGGGGACUACGGCCGCAAGGCUAAAACUCAAAGGAAUUGACGGGGACCCGCACAAGCGGUGGAGCAUGUGGUUUAAUUCGAUGCAACGCGAAGAACCUUACCUGGUCUUGACAUCCUGCGAGCUUUCUAGAGAUAGAUUGGUGCCUUCGGGAACGCAGUGACAGGUGCUGCACGGCUGUCGUCAGCUCGUGUUGUGAAAUGUUGGGUUAAGUCCCGCAACGAGCGCAACCCCUAUUGAUAGUUACCAUCAUUAAGUUGGGUACUCUAUUGAAACUGCCGCUGACAAGGCGGAGGAAGGUGGGGACGACGUCAAGUCAUCAUGGCCCUUACGACCAGGGCUACACACGUGCUACAA